rnacentral:rRNA from 1 species
UACAGAGGUCUCAAGCGUUGUUCGGAUUCAUUGGGCGUAAGGUGUGUAGGUGGCGCGCUAAGUCGGGUGUGAAAUUUCGGAGCUUAACUCCGAAACUGCAUUCGAUACUGGCGUGCUUGAGGACUGGAGAGGAGACGUGGAAAUUCGAUGGUGUAGCAGUGAAAUGCGUAGAGAUCAUGAGGAAGACCAGUGGCGAAGGCGGGUCUCUGGA